UACGAAGGGGGCUAGCGUUGCUCGGAAUCACUGGGCGUAAAGCGCACGUAGGCGGCUUCUUAAGUCAGGGGUGAAAUCCUGGAGCUCAACUCCAGAACUGCCUUUGAUACUGAGAAGCUUGAGUCCGGGAGAGGUGAGUGGAACUGCGAGUGUAGAGGUGAAAUUCGUAGAUAUUCGCAAGAACACCAGUGGCCAAGGCGGCUCACUGGCCCGGUACUGACGCUGAGGUGCGAAAGCGUGGGGAGCAAACAGG
rnacentral:rRNA from 1 species